rnacentral:lncRNA from 1 species
UCAGGCUGCUAUAACAAAAUACCAUAGGCUGCAGGGCUUCAACAAUAGACAUUUGUUAAUAUUUCUUCUGAAAGUUGGGAAGUCCAAGAUUGAGGUGCUGGCAGAUUCUGUGUCUAGUGAGGGCCACUUUCUGGCUCGUAGACAACCAUCUUCUCCUUGUGUCCUCACAUGGCAAAAGGAAAGAACUCUGACCAUUUCAGAGUUCUGUGUAAAAGCACUAAUCCCAUUCAUGAAGACUCCACUAUCAUGAUGUAAUUACUUUUCAAAGGCCCUGCCUCCUUAUACCAUCACACUGGGGGGUUAGGGUUGCAGCAUAUGAAUUGGAAACUAGGGAACACAUUUUGUCUAUGGUACUAACCCACAUCCAAUUCAUGAGCAAAUCCAUAGGCUCCACCUUCAACAUUUAUUCAGAAGUUAACUUUGAUCACCACCUCCACAGCCACCAUCUUAGUCCAGGACAUCAUCAUCUCUUACUUGGAUUAUUGCAGUAGCUUAACUUGUCCCCCUGACUGUGCCAUUUCUAAGGCAGUCUGUCCUCAACCCAGCAGCUCUUCUGUCAGUUUGCCAGGACUUAGACUUCUAUGAAUCCAUGAAUGUGGGCUGGCUCUGCGAACACUGCUGUGAAGGCUACAUUUUUUUGCGGACCACCUAGGCACAGUUCUGGAGGCGAGCAAGUCCAAGAUCAAAGCACUGGCAGCUUCUUUGAGGGUCUGUUCCAGUAAAAGCAUCUUCUUGCAACAACAUCCUCACAUGACAGAGGGGGGAAGGGCAACAGGACAUGAAUGCUGUGCCCUCACCUGGUGAAGAGAGGAAGAGCAAAAGGGUCUCAGCUAGCUCCCUCCAGCCCUUUUCUAAGUGCAGAAUUUUAUUGGCUUGUCAUGAAUUUUCAGCAGAAAGUUAACAGACUCGCUCUGUUGCUCAGGCUGGACUGCAGUGGUGUGAUCUUGGCUCACUGCAACCUCUGUCUGCCAGACUCAAGCAAUCCCCCAACCUCAGCCUCCUGAAUAGCUGGAACCACAGCCCUGCUCUGUGAGAACACAGCAAGAAGGCAGCCUUCUAUAAGCCAGAGAGAGAGCCCUCACCAGAAAUCAAAUCAGCUGGCACCUUAUCUUGGACACCAGCCUCCAGAACUGUGAGAAAUAAAUUUCUG